GAUGAAGAACGUAGCAAGAUGCGAUAAGUAAUGUGAAUUGCAGAAUUCAGUGAAUCAUCGAAUCUUUGAACGCACAUUGCGCCCGCCAGUAUUCUGGCGGGCAUGCCUGUUCGAGCGUCAUUUCAACCCUCAAGCACAGCUUGGUGUUGGGACUCGCGUUAAUUCGCGUUCCCCAAAUUGAUUGGCGGUCACGUCGAGCUUCCAUAGCGUAGUAGUAAAACCCUCGUUACUGGUAAUCGUCGCGGCCACGCCGUUAAACCCCAACUUCUGAAUGUUGACCUCGGAUCAGGUAGGAAUACCCGCUGAACUUAAGCAUAUCAAUAAGCGGAGGA
rnacentral:misc_RNA from 1 species